AGCUUUGCACAGUGGCAGUAUCGUAGCCAAUGAGGUUUAUCUGAGGUGCGAUUAUUGCUAAUUGAAACAACACAAUGACAGAGUCCAGUGAACCCAGCACUCAAAAAAAGGUAAUAUUCUAGAAAA
ensembl:snRNA U4 U4 spliceosomal RNA